GUGCUGGGGAUAUAACGGUGAGCAAGAGAGACCACCGCCCUUGUUCCCGCGGAUCCUGCAGCCCAGUGGAUGGAGUCCACGGUACCUAGACCUGCCAGGAAAGACAGAAAUUUUCCUGAUGGUUGGUCCAAACAGGGACUCCCUGGUGGACUGAGGGAUGGCUGGCUUUUCCUCAGUUCCUGCAUCUCAGGCAGCCCCCAGAAGACCUGGAGAAUGAGAGGCCUGAGGUCUACAGGUUGCUGCUAGAAAUAUUUUAGCCCCUCCAGAAAACAGAAUGCAGCUGCCGCACAAGUUUGUAAGGACUCUGGGCGCCCGCUGACCGCGCGCUGGCCGCCUCGCACUUCGCUCCAGGUGCCCGCCCGGGGCGCUGCCAUAGCAACGGCCUGGACGCCCAGACCUUAGGCCGCCGCCGCCGGGACCCGGCCUUCUCCCGCUCCCGAGGGGUGGGGCGGCGGCGGCCCGGGCCGGGAAGACGGGACUGCCCCCUCCCCCGAUGCCGGCGGAGGCGGCGGAUUUGCUUCCAAGCAUGCCCUUUCAGAAGCACGUCUACUACCCGCUCGCCGCCGGCGGCGGCCUGGAGGCACCCGACGCCUCCGCAGCGGCCGCGGCGGGCGGGGCCGCCAUGGCCUGUGGCCCCCCCAGCGCGGCGUCGGGCCCCCUGCCCUUCUUCCAGUUCCGCCCGCGGCUGGAGAGCGUGGACUGGCGGCGGCUGAGCGCCAUCGACGUGGACAAGGUGGCGGGCGCCGUGGACGUCCUCACGCUGCAGGAGAACAUCAUGAACAUCACCUUCUGCAAGCUGGAGGACGAGAAGUGCCCUCACUGCCAGUCAGGCGUGGACCCGGUGCUGCUGAAGCUCAUCCGCUUGGCGCAGCUCACCAUCGAGUACCUGCUGCACUCGCAGGAGUUCCUCACCUCGCAGCUGCACGGCCUGGAGGAGCGGCUGCGCCGGAGCCUGGCCGAAGGCGAGCACAGCAAGAAGCUCCUCACCAAGCAGGCCGGCGAGAUCAAGCUGCUCAAGGAAGAGUGUAAACGCAGGAAGAAGUUGAUCUCCACCCAGCAGCUGAUGAUCGAGGCCAAAGCCAGCUAUUACCAGUGUCAUUUUUGUGACAAGGCCUUUAUGAACCAAGCUUUCCUACAAAGUCAUAUUCAGCGCCGUCACCCUGAAGAUUCGCAUCUUGAGUAUAAGGCAAGGGCUCAGACGGACAAGCUCCAAAGUGAGAUCGACAUGUUGAAGGAGCAGCUGCAGCUCACCAAGUCUCAGCUAGAGGCUGCACAGCAUGCCCACGCAGUCAGGCUCUCUAAGGAAUAUGAAAUGCAGAAAACAAAAGAGGAAGAAUUUCUGAAGUUAUUCGAUAGAUGGAAAGAAGAAGAAAAGGAGAAACUAGUUGAUGAAAUGGAAAAAGUCAAGGAAAUGUUUAUGAAGGAGUUUAAAGAACUGACUUCUAAGAACUCAGCAUUAGAAUACCAAUUGUCAGAAAUCCAGAAGUCCAAUAUGCAGAUCAAGUCUAACAUAGGCACGCUAAAAGAUGCGCAUGAGUUUAAAGAAGAACGUCCACAGCAUCCCCAGGAUUUCCAAAAUGUGAUGCAGCUACUUGACAAUCAGGAAAGCAAGUGGACAGCUCGUGUUCAGGCUCUUCAUCAAGAACACAAGAAAGAAAAGAGCCGGCUCCUGUCACAUAUAGAGAAACUUCGAACUUCAAUGAUAGACGAUCUAAAUGCAAGUAAUGUCUUCUAUAAGAAAAGGAUAGAAGAGCUAGGGCAGAGGCUCCAGGAACAGAACGAGCUGAUCAUCACUCAGAGACAGCAGAUUAAAGAGUUCACCAGUAAACCGUUAAACAGUGUCAGUGAACCCAAAGGGAAUCUUUUAACCUGGCAAACUUUUGAACCUAAGCCAACUGCCCCAACUGUACCAAUGAAUGCCCCAGCCCCCCAGACACUGGAUGCGAAGUCGAGUCUAACAAUGGCACAUGGAAGAGAAAAUGAACAGAAAUUAAAUGACAACAAGAUACAUAUAAGGAAAACUUUGAAGAAUAACCCUUCCCUCACUAAGGAAAUAAGAACCGUCUUGGAGCAGAGUUUGGUGGAGAAACUGGAAACCUUGGGAAUUAAUGCAGAUAUACGUGGUAUUCCAAGCGAUCACUUGAAUAGAGUGCUAAGAACUGUAGAAUCAACAAGACAUGAGCGAGAAAGACAAAUACCUAACAUUCAGCAAAUUCGAGAAUUCCUUGAACAUCAGGUCAGCUGUAAAAUUGAAGAGAGAACACUGCUGUCCACAGACAGGUAUGGUGCUUCUCAAAUGGACACCCUUUCAACUGGAGAACUACCCAAAGCAAUACACCUUCCUCCCAAAAGCAGACAGCUGAUUAGACAAAGACCUGUUUUUUCUGAUAGAACAUCCGUUCCAAAAGUUAAGAAAAAUGCCACAGAAGAUCAUUUUCCCAGGAGGUCUUCCACUAUUGUGACUCCUCCCUUCAGUUCCGAGGAGGAGCUGGAUGCUGACGACCUCAUCCAGGCGUUCACUUCCCCAGAUGUACUUCCUGUGCUGUCGUCUAAAAGCAACAAGAGUAGUUUUGGAAAGAGCGCUGUCGUCAAAAGCGACACUGACUGGACCGAGGGAAGUGAAAUUGAGGACUCUGAUAUUUCCCCCAAGCCCACAGGAACCUCCAUUAAAACAUUAACUGGAAAAGUUGAAAAGACGGUUUCAAAUCACAGAAAUAUGAAUAAGCCAGUUGGUGGAAUUAAUGUUGCUGACAUGUUCAUCAAAAAAGAACUAAAAGAAGAUCUAAAGUGUACAGAUGUGGAUGAUGAUGACUGGGACAUAUCAUCCUUAGAGGAAGACAGAUCUAUAGGAAGAAAAGCUGGGAGAGAACAGAAGGAACCUCCUCCACCUGUGAAGAAUGAGUCAAAUUCUACUCAAGUGCCAAAUGCCUGGGGUGCAGCUAACCCGAAAGGACUCAAGGGAGAAGGACCUCAGGAUGAGUCCAGUACACUGAAAAGCAGCUUAGUAACCGUGACUGAAUGGAGCGACUCUUCAGACGUGUAACCGUCACCCUGUGCGUCAGGAGGUCCGUCCAGACUUCAGCAGUAUUUGGUAUCGUGCUAUUUCAGCACUGCCUACGCAACUAUGAUUGUCCUGCCUGACAGUAUCUCCUGCAAUAACAAGGAAACCGGCUCUCAGAGAACAAGAGUCUCUUUAAUGGCACCUAAUACAGUGUUAAAAACACAUACACACAAAUUGUCAACAGUAUUUUGAAGCAUAUAAAGGUGUUUAAGAAUGCUGCUGCUGCUUAAAAAUAAUGUGUCAACCGAAGUCAUAAAAAGUUUUUUCUUCAGAACAGUACUCUA
rnacentral:lncRNA from 1 species